UACGAAGGGGGCUAGCGUUGUUCGGAAUUACUGGGCGUAAAGCGCACGUAGGCGGACUCUUAAGUCAGGGGUGAAAUCCCGGGGCUCAACCUCGGAACUGCCUUUGAUACUGUGAGUCUCGAGACCGGAAGAGGUGAGUGGAAUUCCUAGUGUAGAGGUGAAAUUCGUAGAUAUUAGGAAGAACACCAGUGGCGAAGGCGGCUCACUGGUCCGGUUCUGACGCUGAGGUGCGAAAGCGUGGGGAGCAAACAGGAUUAGAAACCCGAGUAGUCC
rnacentral:rRNA from 1 species